rnacentral:rRNA from 1 species
UACAGAGGGUGCAAGCGUUAAUCGGAAUUACUGGGCGUAAAGCGUGCGUAGACGGUUAUGUAAGUCAGGUGUGAAAGCCCCGGGCUUAACCUGGGAAUGGCAUUUGAGACUGCAUAGCUAGGGUGCGGAAGAGGGAAGCGGAAUUUCCGGUGUAGCGGUGAAAUGCGUAGAUAUCGGAAGGAACACCAGUGGCGAAAGCGGCUUCCUGGUCCAGCACCGACGUUCAGGCACGAAAGCGUGGGGAGCAAACAGG